CUCUCUAAAGCAGAGUUCAUUUGCUGAGAAUGAUGGAGAAAAUCAGCAUCUAGCUAAUCAGCUGACCAUGAGAUGCAGAGAUUAUCUGGAAUUAUCCAGAUUGGUCCAUUUAAUUACAUGAGUCCUUAAAAGUGGAAAGUGGAAGAAGAGGCAGAAGAGUGUGUCAGAGAGAUGCUGUGUGAAAAGGACUCAACCUGCCACUUGAGGCUUUGAGGCUGGAGAAAGGGGCCAUGAACCAAGGAUUGUGAGCAGCCUGUAAAAUCUGGAAAAGACAAGGCAAUACCCUUUGCUGUCUCAGGGUCAAACAUGCAACUCCUGCCUGCUUGUAUGGCCAGCUGGGUUCAAGAAGGAAGGAACCUCAUUGUUGACAGUUACCAGAUGAAUGUGCCCCUUCUGUACAGCUAAGAAAUGGAAUAGACAUUGAGAUUUCAAAACAAACGGUAUAUCUGAGUUUGUGCACAUGCAGUUUGACCUUGAGUUUCUGGGCAUUUAAAGAGGACCUCUCUACCCUCCACUCCUUCCUCCUUAAGUCAUACUGCACCUGCCAAGAGUCUAGUCUGUCUCCUCCGAGGACGCAAGGGGUCGCCCCUCUACCAGGAUUGCACCAGCAAACCAAGCCGCAAACGCAGACUCAAGUGCGAAGGAGCAAGAGCAUCGCUGUGGGUGCUGUCUCCCAGUCCCACUCCCACAGAAAAAUUGGAAUUGCAACCCAGUUCCACUAUUCCUUCUUUCAUCCCCUCAACACAAACAGAGGUCUCCUUUGACUUGGCCUUGAGAUGAUUAAGGCAGGUCGAAAAGCAGUUUGCCUUUUGACUCCUCUCGGCCCAACCUAGAGGUGCAUCAUCCCACAGCUCCCUGAGGCAGCGCCCGGGGAAAGCUUCCUGCGCCGUGGUCCUCGCUGGGGGAGGUGGGCACAAAAGGACUACAAGCUUUCUUUCCUGUGUCUUCCUUCAGAAUCAGGGGCCCCAAAACUGCAAAGCGAGACGCCUCUGACACUCAGUACCCUGUCCCUCCUUGACAAGUGUGUGGCUCCCAGCCCGGGGGUCCUCGGUGGGGGUAAAGGAGAGAGCGUGCUCUGGGACGCCCAAUGGGCACGGGCUGGAAGAGCGGAUGGAAAGCAGAGUGGGUUGCGCUCCAGCCCGGGCUCCC
ensembl:lncRNA novel transcript